GUGUCAGCAGCCGCGGUAAUACGGGGGGUGCAAGCGUUACUCGGAAUCAUUGGGCGUAAAGGGCGCGUAGGCGGCCAGGUAAGUCAGGUGUGAAAGCCCGGGGCUUAACCCCGGAAGUGCAUUUGAUACUGCUUGGCUUGAGUAUGGGAGAGGGAAGUGGAAUUCCUGGUGUAGAGGUGAAAUUCGUAGAUAUCAGGAGGAACACCCGUGGCGAAGGCGACUUCCUGGACCAAUACUGACGCUGAGGCGCGAAGGCGUGGGGAGCAAACAGGAUUAGAUACCCUGGUAGUCCACGCAGUAAACGUUGUUCACUAGGUGUAGCGGGUAUUGACCCCUGCUGUGCCGAAGCUAACGCAUUAAGUUCUCCGCCUGGGGAGUACGGCCGCAAGGCUAAAACUUAAAUGAAUUGACGGGG
rnacentral:rRNA from 1 species